GGCCAGUGUGGCAUAGUGGUUUGAGUGGUGGACUAUGACUGUGGAGAAUAGGGUUCAAUUCCCAGCUUGGUCA
rnacentral:tRNA from 1 species